rnacentral:rRNA from 1 species
GGAUUGACAGAUUGAGAGCUCUUUCUCUGAUUCGGUGGGUGGUGGUGCAUGGCCGUUCUUAGUUGGUGGAUCGAUUUGUCUGGUUAAUUCCGAUAACGAACGAGACUCUGGCCUACUAAACUGGACACUUGACUUGGUUUGUCGAUGGCCCUUCUUAGA